ACAGUUGUCAUGACCCUUAGACUCGCAACUUCAGGUCAGGUGUGUGAUGACCAUAUUUUAUUUGUAAUAGCUAUUUUCGAGCUUUCAAUAAUUAGAAUAUUAAUUACAGAUAUUUUUGAGGCUAUGAAAGUAAAUAAUUUAAACUUAAAACUUAGUAUUGAAGGCUAUUGAAUUUAUUAAAGAAAAUAUUCAAGUUAUUUUGAGUGAAAAUAAAAGA
rnacentral:lncRNA from 1 species